UAUCUCACUGGACACCUGAAAAUGAUAGAAGCUGUCACAGCCCAAGGUACAGUGAGCAAAGCAAUCGCAGUCCUUCCCUGGCAUCGGUAAAUGGUGCUCAGUGAACCUACUUCAGAGCCAUAGUGUUUUGGGUAGACAGCUCCUCAGAGAAUGGAAAGCAGCAAUUGUUGCUCAUACAUCUUUCCAAUGCCUGGAUCACCACACCUUCAACUAUGGUGCUGUCUGCUCACCCAUGCGAUGUUUUCCCAGGUCACCAAUAGGCUGCACCUUGGACCAUUCCAGCUCUGUGCUGCAUCCACCACGUGGUGUCAUCAAUGUUUCCACUGAGAAGUGCCUGAGCCAGUUCUUUUUUUGCUUUUUUUUCUUUUCAAACGUUUAUUCAAUAAAUAUAAAUUUCCAAAAUACAA